CAGUCGCCGCGGUAAUGCGGAGGGAGCUAGCGUUGUUCGGAAUUACUGGGCGUAAAGCGCGCGUAGGCGGUUACUCAAGUCAGAGGUGAAAGCCCGGGGCUCAACCCCGGAACUGCCUUUGAAACUAGGUGACUAGAAUCUUGGAGAGGUCAGUGGAAUUCCGAGUGUAGAGGUGAAAUUCGUAGAUAUUCGGAAGAACACCAGUGGCGAAGGCGACUGACUGGACAAGUAUUGACGCUGAGGUGCGAAAGCGUGGGGAGCAAGCAGGAUUAGAUACCCCCGUAGUCCCUGUCUCUUAUAC
rnacentral:rRNA from 1 species